rnacentral:rRNA from 1 species
GUAGGUGGUCUGUCAAGUCCGAUGUGAAAGCCCUGGGCUUAACCUGGGAAUUGCAGUCGAUACUACUCAGCUAGAGUAUGGGAGAGGGAAGUGGAAUUCCCGGUGUAGCGGUGAAAUGCGUAGAUAUCGGGAGGAACAUCAGUGGCGAAGGCGGCUUCCUGGCCCAAUACUGACACUCAGGUGCGACAGCGUGGGGAGCAAACAGG